rnacentral:sRNA from 1 species
UUCAAUUAAUCCAUUUAUUUUAAUUUUAUUGGUGAUAAUAUUGUGAUUAAAUAUUGCGAAUUACCUCCAAGACGACUUGAUUAGGACAUUUAGGUACAACAUAUAUUUAGAUGACCAAACGGCGCAAACCAAACCCAAGUGCCUGGAAAACAGGAGGAUAGAUACCUUUAACGUAGACUGGAAUAGCGCCACAUCAGGUUGCACCCUGUGAUAUAAGAUAGUUUUGGAGUGUCGGAUGUUUUGAAGCAGCUUAAACUGAGCGCAUUUGUUGCAUGCUUUGCAAUUACGCCGAUUAUUGGCCCUUUCUCUCCCGCCUGCGAUAAACAAGAAUCUGAUGUAGAUUAGGCCACGGACUGUGGACUAAGUUGGGCCUCCUGCGUGGACGACCUGCAGAUUGCUGAUAGCCAGGGAAGUUACAUUAUUGACAAAUUAAGGACCACAAUUAAUUUCAAGGACCUUCACGACUAACAAAGCAAUUUUUUCCAGGAUCGGACUUUAAUUAGGCCAGAUAUAGCUAUUUUACGUUCAAAUAAGCUACAAUUCUAAUUUAUGCUCGUUUUUUUAUCAUUUUAAGACAAAUAAUUAAGA